rfam:Clostridiales bacterium KA00134 genomic scaffold Scaffold6, whole genome shotgun sequence.
GAAGUAAGCCGAUCAAUUGCAGGAAACUGAGGAAAGUCCGCGCUCCACAGAGCAAGGAUGCCAGCUAACGGCUGGUGGGGGCGACCCUAAGGCUAGUGCAACAGAGAUAUACCGCCUGAUAAUAUUUUAUUGGGUAAGGGUGGAAAGGUGAGGUAAGAGCUUACCAGCUUGGCAGAGAUGUCAAGGCUAUGUAAACCCCAUUCGGAGCAAAACCAAAUAGGAUUAAGAGUGGCUGCUCGUCACUCCCGGUAGGUAGGUUGCUAGAACUUAUUGGCGACAAUAAGUCAAGACAGAUAAUUGAUUAAUACAGAACGCGGCUUAUAGGCUUACUUCGGAC